rnacentral:rRNA from 1 species
UUAUGCUAGGAUGUGAUGGGGAAGCCCUUCGGGGCGAAGUAGCUCAUUUCACACUGCCAAGAAAAGCUUCUAUCGAGUUUAAAGGCGCCCGUACCGUAAACCGACACAGGUGGGUGAGGAGAGUAUCCUAAGGCCAGCGAGAGAACUAUUGUUAAGGAACUCGGCAAAAUGACCCCGUAACUUAGGGAGAAGGGGUGCCUGUCUAUGACAGGCCGCAGAGAAUAGGCCCAAGCGACUGUUUACCAAAAACACAGGUUUCUGCUAAGUCGCAAGACGAUGUAUAGGAGCUGACGCCUGCCCGGUGCUGGAAGGUUAAGGGGAUCUGUUAGAGCAAUCGAAGCAGUGAACUUAAGCCCCAGUAAACGGCGGCCGUAACGAUAACGGUCCUAAGGUAGCGAAAUUCCUUGUCGGGUAAGUUCCGACCCGCACGAAAGGCGUAACGAUUUGGGCACUGUCUCAACAAUAGACUCGGUGAAAUUGUAAUCCCGGUGAAGAUGCCGGGUACCUGCGACAGGACGGAAAGACCCCAUGGAGCUUUACUGUAGCUUGACGUUGGGUCUUGGUACUACAUGUACAGGAUAGGUGGGAGACUACGAAGCAUGGACGCCAGUCUGUGUGGAGUCGUCCUUGGGAUACCACCCUUGUAGUACUGGGAUCCUAACCAUAGGCCUUGAAUCAGGUCUUGGAACACCGUCAGGUGGGCAGUUUGACUGGGGCGGUCGCCUCCUAAAAAGUAACGGAGGCGCUCAAAGGUUUCCUCAGCACGGUCGGAAAUCGUGCGAAGAGUGUAAAGGCAAAAGGAAGCUUGAUUGCAAGACAUACAGGUCGAGCAAGGACGAAAGUCGGACUUAGUGAUCCGGUGGUACCGUAUGGAAGGGCCAUCGCUCAACGGAUAAAAGCUACCCUGGGGAUAACAGGCUUAUCUCCCCCAAGGGUCCACAUCGACGGGGAGGUUUGGCACCUCGAUGUCGGCUCAUCACAUCCUGGGGCUGUAGUAGGUCCCAAGGGUUGGGCUGUUCGCCCAUUAAAGUGGUACGCGAGCUGGGUUCAGAACGUCGUGAGACAGUUCGGUCCCUAUCCGUCGCAGGCGUAGGAAAUUUGAGAAGACCUGUCCUUAGUACGAGAGGACUGGGAUGGACGUACCUCUGGUGUACCAGUUGUUCUGCCAAGGGCAUGGCUGGGUAGCUAUGUACGGAAUGGAUAAGCGCUGAAAGCAUCUAAGCGCGAAGCCAACUUCAAGAUAAGAUUUCCCACCGCAAGGGUAAGACCCCAGGAAGACUACCUGGUUGAUAGGUCGAAGGUGUAAGUGCAGUAAUGUAUUUAGCUUAUCGAUACUAAUAGGUCGAGGACUUGACCG